UGGCACAAGGGUCAAAGAUUUAGUCGGUGUAGGAUGGACCCGCGUCUGAUUAGCUAGUUGGUGAAGGGUAACCGGCCCACCAAGGCGACGAUCAGUAGCCGGCUUGAGAGAGUGAACGGCCACAUUGGGACUGAGACACGGCCCAAACUCCUACGGGAGGCAGCAGUGGGGAAUAUUGCACAAUGGGGGAAACCCUGAUGCAGCGACGCCGCGUGAGUGAUGAAGUAUUUCGGUAUGUAAAGCUCUAUCAGCAGGGAAGAUAAUGACGGUACCUGACUAAGAAGCCCCGGCUAACUACGUG
rnacentral:rRNA from 1 species